GGAAGGCCCAGAAGGCCUUCAAGAAGUCAGGAAAGAGAGCCGGGAAGAGUUCGGGCAAGCGGCCGGCAGCCCGCCCACCUCCUCCAGCCCGUCGCCUCCUGGCAGCCCGUCGGGGGAGAAACGCCCGAGGGAAUCCGCUUCCGAGCCGACUACACUGUCCAAGAGGCGCAAAGUCAGCACUCCGAGGAAGAAGGGCUUCCCUCGGGCUCACCUCUCCCCCCUGAAGAGAAUGAUGCUUAUGAAAGUGGCAAAGAGGGCCCGGAAACUGUUUUUUUCAAUUUUUUUUGUUUUAAAUGUUCUUUUCUCGUUCUGUUCUGUUGUUAUAAUAAAUGUUUUAAACGUU